AAUCUAGGAUGAUCCCGUUAUUUUCAUAUGAAAGGAUCACCAGGUAUAAAUCUCUUAUCAAACAACCAAGCAAUUGUUGAUUCAAUCUCCUCACAUGAUUUAUUUCAGUUUUUCUCAAAGGUGCAGACAGAUCUAGUGUGCAAUCACUGCACAACCUGUCUGAUGGAGGGCAAAAUCACGAUUUCUUGAGUGGCGCGAGCAUGCCUUACAGAGGUAUGCUCCUCUAUUAGCUUAUUCUUGCCUAGUUUUGCUUACAUGAUAGCUCUUAAUUUCUACAGCUAAACAAUGAAUUCUAUCUAUGUCCAGUAAAUCAAAUUUACAUAGCCUGAUGAAACUUGACAUCUUGCUGAACUUUGCCACCUCAGCAGAUAUAAGGUUUGGUCUGCAGAUAAAAGAACGAGAUAAUGCAUGGUUGUCAUGCAACUCCGGCCAGCUAUGGAAGAAAAGCAAGCGAGACUGCAGUCACGUCAUGGUACGUGGAGAAGAGAACGAAAGCUAGAAAGCUACUGUAGCGGGCUUAUCUGCCAUCUGCUACAGCUCCACUGCUGGCAUCAUCAUCAAUUCUCCACCUUCUCAGUAACAAAUUACAACUUAGAUUUAGUAUGUUAUAGGAUAGACGAUAUUUUUUGCUCACUCUAGGAAAAAGUGGGUAAUUCUAUUGUGUUUGUGCGAUCAGCUUGUAUGUCACUUAAAUUUUGUUGAAUCAAGUUACGUGUAAUCAGCUUGUGAUCUUUUUGAUCUGUGAUUACAUAUGCAGAUAUUGCUUUUUGUUU